GAGCUUGCUCUUACGGGUGGCGAGUGGCGGACGGGUGAGGAAUGCAUCGGAAUCUACUCUGUCGUGGGGGAUAACGUAGGGAAACUUACGCUAAUACCGCAUACGACCUACGGGUGAAAGCAGGGGAUCUUCGGACCUUGCGCGAUUGAAUGAGCCGAUGCCCGAUUAGCUAGUUGGCGGGGUAAGAGCCCACCAAGGCGACGAUCGGUAGCUGGUCUGAGAGGAUGAUCAGCCACACUGGAACUGAGACACGGUCCAGACUCCUACGGGAGGCAGCAGUGGGGAAUAUUGGACAAUGGGCGCAAGCCUGAUCCAGCCAUACCGCGUGGGUGAAGAAGGCCUUCGGGUUGUAAAGCCCUUUUGUUGGGAAAGAAAAGCAUUCGGUUAAUACCCGAUUGUUCUGACGGUACCCAAAGAAUAAGCACCGGCUAACUUCGUGCCAGCAGCCGCGGUAAUACGAAGGGUGCAAGCGUUACUCGGAAUUACUGGGCGUAAAGCGUGCGUAGGUGGUUGUUUAAGUCUGUCGUGAAAGCCCUGGGCUCACCCUGGGAAUUGCGAUGGAAACUGGGCGACUAGAGUGUGGCAAAGGUAGUGGAAUUCCUGGUGUUACAGUGAAUGGCUUGGGAUUCA
rnacentral:rRNA from 1 species